CGCCUUUCGAUAAAUAAACAUGAAAGGUCCUGCCUGCCCAGUGACAACAUUUAACGGCCGCGGUAUUAUGACCGUGCAAAGGUAGCAUAAUCACUUGUCUUUUAAAUAAAGACCAGUAUGAAUGGCAAGACGAAACCCAACUGUCUCCUUAAGCUAGUCAAUGAAAUUGAUCUUCCCGUGCAGAAGCGGGAAUAUAAAUAUAAGACGAGAAGACCCUGUGGAGCUUAAAAACAAGACUAUAUAGAUAUACUAUAAUAGUAUAAAAUUUUGGUUGGGGCGACCAUGAGAUAAAACACAACCCUCAAGACAACAAUCAGAAGGACACUUCAAAAAUAAAAUUAUACAUUGACCCAAUAAUGAUCAACGAACCAAGUUACCCCAGGGAUAACAGCGCAAUCCAUUCCCAAAGUCCAUAUCGACGAAUGGGUUUACGACCUCGAUGUUGGAUCAGGACCCCCUAAUGGUGCAACAACUAUUAAAGGUUCGUUUGUUCAACGAUUAAAGUCCU
rnacentral:rRNA from 1 species